rnacentral:lncRNA from 1 species
AUGAACGGAAUAGUGGCUUUCUCUUACCAUAGGAUUGAUGUGUUUGUGAGGAGAUGCAGGUUGUAGUAUUCUGGUAUCUCUUUUCAGCAUUUUAUGUCACAUAGUCAUCUUGGGUUUGUUGACACUUGAAAUCUCUUUGUCUCAGGAGAGGCACUGCCUAGUGCUCAGUGUGCUCAGUUCUCAAUAUACAGAUGAUUGUUUUCUUCUUCCCUUUUGUUUCAUUUUUUAGAGGUAAUAUAAGCACUACUGUGUGUGCCUUUGUAUUCGGCAAAUGUCAUAUAUUAGUAAGAAUUUGCUGGAAAAUAUUAUCUUGGUACUAUGCAUAAGCCAUCACAUUUUCAGUAUGCAUGAAUGUCCCUCUUCAUUUGUUCUUUUCUUUAGCAAAAGGAAUGUUCCAUCCACCCUAUGCCUUUCUCUCACCCCGUCUAUGUAUUAUAUAGGGGGAAGGGCUUUGGCAAUAUUUCUUUACAAUAAUAUUUUUUCAAAUACAUAAGUUUUUAUAAUCAUAGUUUUAUGUAUAUUGAAUGAUACCUUAUGCCCCUGAAAUCCUGAGUUCAGCAUCCAGCCCUUGGAACUGAAGUUAAACAUGAUAGUGAGCUGCAAUGUGUGUAGAAACAAAAGAAGAUAAAGUUAAAAUUACAAGACUAAAAUUUUCAGUUAAGUCAAUCUCAUGAAUUUUUUUUAAAAUUCAUGAAGAAUUAGUAUAAUUCUCAAUUUAAAAACUCAAUUUGAUCAAAAAAUGAUUCUAUUUCAAUUGAAUGCAUUGUCACAUGUGCCAUUUAUUUCCAUAUACAUACCUAAUUAUUAUAUAGAAAAAACUAUAUGUAAUUUAUGACCUUGUUAUUAUUGUAUUGCAUAUAUCAACCUUGAUUAAACUUUCAAUAAUUCUAUGCUGUCUAAUACUAGCAUUUUUAUUUACUGUUAUGAAUAUAAUCUCAUAAAAUAACUUCACAAAGUAUUUGAUUCUGUGUGUUGUUUGGAAUGUUGAUGUGCUCACUGAUGUUAAACUACUUUUAUGUUUAAAGAAAAAUGUGAUCUUUAAUUCAUUCAAUAAUUCUGAAUUUCAUAUUGUACGUCUUUGUUCUAGAAAGGGUACAGCAUUGUUCCUAGGUCUCAGGAUGCCAACUGAGAAUUUUAAAAUAAAGUCAUGUGAGCCCCUGCUAGAGAUAGGAUUGAUACAGUGUCCAUAGUUGAGCAAGACUGAGAGCUGUAGAAUUUAGAAACACAGUUUUACUCAUUUGAACUUGACCAUCUGUGAUGUGACACUGGGAUUCUUUUUCAUAGCAACCCAUGCUUCAGAAAGCUACACUCCUGAAUCUAGACAAGAAAUGUGUAUUUUAUAUUCCCUACAAGUUUUCUGAUUACAAUUCUGUAAUCCUGUUUCAGAGAAAUAGAAAAUAAAAUUAAGACUAUUUUGCAUCGUUUAUUAAAACUAAUUUUCAAUUUUCUUUCAUGUUUGUUGGUACAUAUGGCUGAAUGCAUGCAUAUGUGUUGUAUAUUCCUUGAGCCUGUAGGGCUCAAAAGAGUGCAUUGCAUUUUAGAGAAUUGGGUUUAGAAAUCUGUUGUGUAGUUCCAUAUGUGUACUGGGAAACAACUUUAGAUUAUAAAACACAAAGUACAGACAUAUUUUCAAAUGAAGUGAUAGUGGCAAAACCUUCAUCUACUGCUAAGGUCUUAGAAAACAUUAGAAAGUUAAUGAAGGGGAGAGACCUUGUGAAUGUAAGCAAUAUAAUAUAUCAUUAUAUACAUUGCCUUUGAAGGAGCAGCAAUGCUUACCUUAUGACUCAUUUCUAAGCACUUCUAGAAGAUGUUGUUUGUCCUUAAAUAUUUAUCAUGGCUUAGCUUUAUCACAAAUUACCUCUAAUUCUUUAGGACUUUUCUACCUAGGAAAUCACUUUUGUCCAGUAGCACAUAGUAAACAGGUAUUUUUCCAUUUCAGGGUCUGUUAAGAUUCAAGGAUGUGGCAGUGGACUUCUCACAGGAGGAAUGGGAAUGUCUUGACUGUGCUCAGAGGGCAUUGUACAUGGAUGUGAUGCUGGAGAAUUACAACAAUCUAUUUUUUGUGGGUAAGAAUACUUUUCGUGUAGAAUUCCUGAUAUAUUUUUUUUAAUUUACCUAUUGUAUGUUUAUGUUAUCCCUCUGAAAUGUCUAUAUACUCCCAGAAUAAGGGAAAUUCUCGUUUCCAACAUAACAUUUCAUUAUUUUUCUUUUAUAUUUCUCUAUAUUCUUUUGAAGAGGAACCAGUGUUAUGUUCUCGGUAAUCUCUCCAAACUUAAUGUCUACUUUUAAUCAAAACUUCCGAGUUC